rnacentral:pre_miRNA from 1 species
CACAUACUCCCUCCGUCCGAAAAUACUUAUCAUCAAAAUGAAUAAAAAGGGGUGUAUCUAGAACUAAAAUAUGUCUAGAUACAUCUUCUUUUAUCCAUUUUGAUGACAAGUAUUUUCGGACGGAGGGAGUAGAAU